GCGAACCUGGAUUUGAGAACGACGGACCUGAAAGAUCAUAACUAUCUUUUUUUGCGUAACCAACUUUUUUGGCUACAGCUACAUGCAUGGAAAGGCAGAAAUGGCUUUGCAAACAAAGCGACAUUUAAAAUUAUCCUGAGAUUCAGUUUUGAUGGCAACACUGUUGUAUGCCUUGUUGUAUGGUUAAGUGUAAAAAAUAAACAAAUACAAAAGG